rnacentral:rRNA from 1 species
GGGUUGUGAGGUUAAGCGACUAAGCGUACACGGUGGAUGCCCUGGCAGUCAGAGGCGAUGAAGGACGUGCUAAUCUGCGAUAAGCGUCGGUAAGGUGAUAUGAACCGUUAUAACCGGCGAUUUCCGAAUGGGGAAACCCAGUGUGAUUCGUCACACUAUCAUUAACUGAAUCCAUAGGUUAAUGAGGCGAACCGGGGGAACUGAAACAUCUAAGUACCCCGAGGAAAAGAAAUCAACCGAGAUUCCCCCAGUAGCGGCGAGCGAACGGGGAGGAGCCCAGAGCCUGAAUCAGUGUGUGUGUUAGUGGAAGCGUCUGGAAAGGCGCGCGAUACAGGGUGACAGCCCCGUACACAAAAAUGCACAUGCUGUGAGCUCGAUGAGUAGGGCGGGACACGUGGUAUCCUGUCUGAAUAUGGGGGGACCAUCCUCCAAGGCUAAAUACUCCUGACUGACCGAUAGUGAACCAGUACCGUGAGGGAAAGGCGAAAAGAACCCCGGCGAGGGGAGUGAAAAAGAACCUGAAACCGUGUACGUACAAGCAGUGGGAGCCUCUUUUAUGGGGUGACUGCGUACCUUUUGUAUAAUGGGUCAGCGACUUAUAUUCUGUAGCAAGGUUAACCGAAUAGGGGAGCCGAAGGGAAACCGAGUCUUAACCGGGCGUUAAGUUGCAGGGUAUAGACCCGAAACCCGGUGAUCUAGCCAUGGGCAGGUUGAAGGUUGGGUAACACUAACUGGAGGACCGAACCGACUAAUGUUGAAAAAUUAGCGGAUGACUUGUGGCUGGGGGUGAAAGGCCAAUCAAACCGGGAGAUAGCUGGUUCUCCCCGAAAGCUAUUUAGGUAGCGCCUCGUGAAUUCAUCUCCGGGGGUAGAGCACUGUUUCGGCAAGGGGGUCAUCCCGACUUACCAACCCGAUGCAAACUGCGAAUACCGGAGAAUGUUAUCACGGGAGACACACGGCGGGUGCUAACGUCCGUCGUGAAGAGGGAAACAACCCAGACCGCCAGCUAAGGUCCCAAAGUCAUGGUUAAGUGGGAAACGAUGUGGGAAGGCCCAGACAGCCAGGAUGUUGGCUUAGAAGCAGCCAUCAUUUAAAGAAAGCGUAAUAGCUCACUGGUCGAGUCGGCCUGCGCGGAAGAUGUAACGGGGCUAAACCAUGCACCGAAGCUGCGGCAGCGACACUGUGUGUUGUUGGGUAGGGGAGCGUUCUGUAAGCCUGUGAAGGUGU